rnacentral:rRNA from 1 species
GGGUUGUGAGGUUAAGCGACUAAGCGUACACGGUGGAUGCCCUGGCAGUCAGAGGCGAUGAAGGACGUGCUAAUCUGCGAAAAGCGCCGGCGAGGUGAUAUGAACCCUUGACCCGGCGAUGUCCGAAUGGGGAAACCCAGUGUGAUUCGUCACACUAUCGUUAACUGAAUACAUAGGUUAACGAGGCGAACCGGGGGAACUGAAACAUCUAAGUACCCCGAGGAAAAGAAAUCAACCGAGAUUCCCCCAGUAGCGGCGAGCGAACGGGGAGCAGCCCAGAGUCUGAAUCAGCUUGUGUGUUAGUGGAAGCGUCUGGAAAGUCGCACGGUACAGGGUGACAGUCCCGUACACGAAAAUGCACAGGCUGUGAACUCGAAGAGUAGGGCGGGACACGUGGUAUCCUGUCUGAAUAUGGGGGGACCAUCCUCCAAGGCUAAAUACUCCUGACUGACCGAUAGUGAACCAGUACCGUGAGGGAAAGGCGAAAAGAACCCCGGCGAGGGGAGUGAAAAAGAACCUGAAACCGUGUACGUACAAGCAGUGGGAGCACCUUCGGGUGUGACUGCGUACCUUUUGUAUAAUGGGUCAGCGACUUAUAUUCUGUAGCAAGGUUAACCGUAUAGGGGAGCCGAAGGGAAACCGAGUCUUAACUGGGCGUUAAGUUGCAGGGUAUAGACCCGAAACCCGGUGAUCUAGCCAUGGGCAGGUUGAAGGUUGGGUAACACUAACUGGAGGACCGAACCGACUAAUGUUGAAAAAUUAGCGGAUGACUUGUGGCUGGGGGUGAAAGGCCAAUCAAACCGGGAGAUAGCUGGUUCUCCCCGAAAGCUAUUUAGGUAGCGCCUCGUGAACUCAUCUUCGGGGGUAGAGCACUGUUUCGGCUAGGGGGCCAUCCCGGCUUACCAACCCGAUGCAAACUACGAAUACCGAAGAAUGUUAUCACGGGAGACACACGGCGGGUGCUAACGUCCGUCGUGAAGAGGGAAACAACCCAGACCGCCAGCUAAGGUCCCAAAGUCAUGGUUAAGUGGGAAACGAUGUGGGAAGGCCCAGACAGCCAGGAUGUUGGCUUAGAAGCAGCCAUCAUUUAAAGAAAGCGUAAUAGCUCACUGGUCGAGUCGGCCUGCGCGGAAGAUGUAACGGGGCUAAACCAUGCACCGAAGCUGCGGCAGCGACACUAUGUGUUGUUGGGUAGGGGAGCGUUCUGUAAGCCGUUGAAGGUGGCCUGUGAGGGUUGCUGGAGGUAUCAGAAGUGCGAAUGCUGACAUAAGUAACGAUAAAGCGGGUGAAAAGCCCGCUCGCCGGAAGACCAAGGGUUCCUGUCCAACGUUAAUCGGGGCAGGGUGAGUCGACCCCUAAGGCGAGGCCGAAAGGCGUAGUCGAUGGGAAACAGGUUAAUAUUCCUGUACUUGGUGUUACUGCGAAGGGGGGACGGAGAAGGCUAUGUUAGCCGGGCGACGGUUGUCCCGGUUUAAGCAUGUAGGCGGAGGUUCCAGGUAAAUCCGGUACCUUUUAACGCUGAGGUGUGAUGACGAGGCACUACGGUGCUGAAGUAACAAAUGCCCUGCUUCCAGGAAAAGCCUCUAAGCAUCAGGUAACACGAAAUCGUACCCCAAACCGACACAGGUGGUCAGGUAGAGAAUACCAAGGCGCUUGAGAGAACUCGGGUGAAGGAACUAGGCAAAAUGGUGCCGUAACUUCGGGAGAAGGCACGCUGAUAUGUAGGUGAAGCCCCUGCGGGUGGAGCUGAAAUCAGUCGAAGAUACCAGCUGGCUGCAACUGUUUAUUAAAAACACAGCACUGUGCAAACACGAAAGUGGACGUAUACGGUGUGACGCCUGCCCGGUGCCGGAAGGUUAAUUGAUGGGGUUAGCGGCAACGCGAAGCUCUUGAUCGAAGCCCCGGUAAACGGCGGCCGUAACUAUAACGGUCCUAAGGUAGCGAAAUUCCUUGUCGGGUAAGUUCCGACCUGCACGAAUGGCGUAAUGAUGGCCAGGCUGUCUCCACCCGAGACUCAGUGAAAUUGAACUCGCUGUGAAGAUGCAGUGUACCCGCGGCAAGACGGAAAGACCCCGUGAACCUUUACUAUAGCUUGACACUGAACACUGGUCCUUGAUGUGUAGGAUAGGUGGGAGGCUUUGAAGCGUGGACGCCAGUCUGCGUGGAGCCAACCUUGAAAUACCACCCUUUAAUGGCUGGUGUUCUAACGUAGACCCGUAAUCCGGGUUGCGGACAGUGUCUGGUGGGUAGUUUGACUGGGGCGGUCUCCUCCCAAAGAGUAACGGAGGAGCACGAAGGUUAGCUAAUCCUGGUCGGACAUCAGGAGGUUAGUGCAAUGGCAUAAGCUAGCUUGACUGCGAGAGUGACGGCUCGAGCAGGUGCGAAAGCAGGUCAUAGUGAUCCGGUGGUUCUGAAUGGAAGGGCCAUCGCUCAACGGAUAAAAGGUACUCCGGGGAUAACAGGCUGAUACCGCCCAAGAGUUCAUAUCGACGGCGGUGUUUGGCACCUCGAUGUCGGCUCAUCACAUCCUGGGGCUGAAGUAGGUCCCAAGGGUAUGGCUGUUCGCCAUUUAAAGUGGUACGCGAGCUGGGUUUAGAACGUCGUGAGACAGUUCGGUCCCUAUCUGCCGUGGGCGCUGGAGAAUUGAGGGGGGCUGCUCCUAGUACGAGAGGACCGGAGUGGACGCAUCACUGGUGUUCGGGUUGUCAUGCCAAUGGCACUGCCCGGUAGCUAAAUGCGGAAGAGAUAAGUGCUGAAAGCAUCUAAGCACGAAACUUGCCCCGAGAUGAGUUCUCCCUGA